UCAGUAGCAAGACUUGGUCUUGGACAAUAGAUCAUUUCAGGAAGGGCAAAUAACAGUGUCAGUUCCUUGGCACACUGAGACGUUUCUGAUCCUAGAACAUCCUCUUUCCAUUUAAGGACAUUGAAUAUCACCACAUGGAACAUCUAUAUUCAGCUAAGCUUGUGGAGUACGACAUUUCCUAAUAUGUGCCCACCUGUUCCAAGAUCAAGAAAACAAAUUUAAGUGUAUUAUUGAGACACUCAAUUAAUCUGUUAUAUGAGAAAAAGAAAACUAGUGAGUUUGAUAUCUUUGUGUAAUAAAUUUUCCAUGAAAAUAAUUGUAUAAUAGUCAUAAAAAGCCAGAAAUUCCAGUAAGAGUUUAUUUAUCCCAUUGCCCAGUUUUUAGCAAAACUUACCAAAUUGCUCAAUAAUUGAGAAGGUUGUCCAUUUUAAAAGAAUCAGAGAUGUUGGGUCAAUGAUAUGAAUUAAAUGAACUAAUGCUA